GGAAGACUCUACCCAUCACCUAAGUGGUGCUAUAAAAGAAGGAAUCAGAUAGUCAGCUCAGGAGUGUUAUCAAGAGGCCUCUUACCAUCAUAACAACAUCAGCAUGCCUGAGAAAUUCCCAAGUUUUUGCAUUCUGGCCAAUGAACGGAUAGGCAGAAAUUUCAGGAAACAUUUUCUCUGAUGUUAAGAGAGUUGAAAACAAACAAACAAACAAACAAACAAUUGAAAGUGGCCCACAAAUCACAGGAUGAUCUUUCAUCUUUGGUAGUUCUUCCUGACAUUCAAACCAUGUUGACAUGGCAGUGACACUUCCCUUCUUUAGGCUCCAGAAAUAUACACGCUGACCUGAAAGUUUGUAUGUAAACUGGUGGCCCAAGAGCCUGGAAGUAUUCUCUGAUGUGUUAUCCUGAACCAUGUGUCACUGAUUCAACUUGUAUUAAUUAAAACAGAAUAAAAUCUCAAAGUCACUGGACCAGGUAGGUCACAGCCCCCGCACAUGGCCUCCAUACUGGAUUGUGUAGAUUAGGGAAUAUUCCAUCAUGCAGAGUACUGCGGUUCAGUGAGGGUCUAAAACAACUGCAUCCCAAGUCUUCCUGAUCUAUUCCCUCCUAACACCAUGCUCUGUAUCAGACAGGUUACAGCCAUGUUGUGUUGAUCCUGCUAAUCACCCUGGAGUUGCACCUGCUAAGGACUCAGGAGAUCCUAGAAAGUGUGGUCUGGCCUCAUUCUGGCUCCUUAGAAGCCAGGGCCUGUUCCUGUAACUGUGCCAUAUUGGAAACGAUCAACGAGGUUUACAUGGAGCAGAGAGGAACUCAGCCUGCAUGGACUCGAUCGAGGGCGACUGGGCAUGUGAGGAUGAGCAUGGACCAGGAGGAUAUGGGAUAAAUUACCACAGCUUUAGAAGCUGACUUUUCUAGAGGGCAAGUCCAACGGGGGUCCCACAGAGCUACAACCAAGCUGUCGGCAAGAUGAGGUCUCUAUGAGGACCCCACUGAGAAUCCUGGCUGCCUCAAGUUCCUGGAGUGCCCGUUGUUCCCAGACUAAGGCCUCAUACCACUCUGGCCUCAGCUAACAUGUCACAGGCUUGCACUUUGG
rnacentral:lncRNA from 1 species